rnacentral:lncRNA from 1 species
AUACAGGAAGAUUAAACAGCUCUUUGCUUGGCCUAACAUGAAGAAAAUGAUUAAGGAAUCAGUAAAGAUGUCAGGUUUGUUUGCAGGCCAAACCUGACAGACUAAAGUACCCUGGUCUUUUGCAACCUCUACCUGUACCCGAGGGUUCUUGGCAAGCAGUCUCAUUGGACUUCAUUGAAGGACUACCUAAGUCAGCAGGUUAUAAUUGCAUUCUGGUGGUUGUUGACAGGUUUUCCAAGUAUGCACACUUUGUUGCCCUUAAACAUCCAUUUACUGCAAUUGAUGUAGCUCAAGCUUACAUGUUUCAUAUCUAUAAGUUACAUGGGUUGCCUCAAACUAUUGUUUCUGAUAGAGACAAAAUAUUCACUAGUCAAUUGUGGGAGCAAUUAUUUCUAAGAGCUGGUACCAAAUUGCACUACAGUUCUGCUUAUCACCCACAGUCAGAUGGCCAGACUGAAAGGGUAAACCAAUGCUUGGAAAUCUAUCUACGAUGUUUUGUUCAUUCUACUCCUUCCAAAUGGUAUUCCUGGCUUCAUUUAGCUGAGUAUUGGUACAACAGUACCUACCAUUCUUCUUUGGGCACAACUCCUUUUGAAGUGCUGUAUGGUUAUCCUCCAAACCAUUUUGGUAUCAGCAGUAGAGACUGUGCUAUUCCAGAAUUGUCUGUAUGGCUACGAGACAGGAAGUUCAUGCAGCAAUUAGUGCAGCAACACCUCCAUCGGGCACAACAGCAGAUGAAACAUUUUGCUGACAAGAAAAGAAGUUUUAGGCAAUUCACAAUUGGAGAUUGGGUAUACCUGAAAUUGCAGCCAUAUGUUCAAAGUUCAGUAGCCCCAAGAGCUAAUCACAAGUUGGCCUUCAAAUAUUAUGGUCCUUUCCAAGUUAUUGACAAAUUGGGCACAGUUGCAUAUAAGCUUCAGCUACCUGAAACUAGUUCUGUCCAUCAUGUGUUCCAUGUUUCUCUUUUGAAACCAGCCAAGGGCUUUACGCAACCAGCUUUUCUUCAACUGCCCUCUGAAGUGGUUUCCUGGCAGCUUCCUCUUGCUAUUCUUGAUCAGAGACUAGUCAAGAAAGGUAAUUCUGUUAUUACUCAGGUGCUAAUUCACUGGUCUCAUACUGUGCCAGAACAAGCAACUUGGGAAGAUCUGGAGGAUUUGAAGACACGUUUUCCUAAUGCUUUGGCUUGGGGACAAGCCAAAAUUCAAGGGGAGGGGAUUGUCAGGUGCCUACCUGACAUGGCUGUUCCAGCUGAAGAGGAGGAGAAGGAAGGAGAACCUGAAGCUGAUGAAGAACCUACUGAUGAUCAAGACUCUGAGGGCAUAAGGCGCCAAGAUGAGGAGGAGGACAUUCAGACCAAUACUCAAGUGCCAGUUAGGCCAUCAAGAACGAUGAAGCCCAACCCCCGUUACCAUGGGCCUGAAUGGGCUGUGUAAUCCAGUUGGCACUGUACAGCUGGCUGUUGCGUGUGUGAUGCGAAUUCGAGAGAGAGAGAGAGUGGGUAAUGUACCUGAUACUUGUAUAAAACAGGGGAACCCAAGAUGAAAUGGUAUGAACUGGCAACUAGGCGGCGAAGGCGGCGGAAGGCUUAAUCCUGUCGGAUUAGAGCAAUAGACUACCAAUUAGUUGUCAAAUCCCUAUCAUUGCGUGUGUGUUCUUGUUCUUGCUCUUUGGAUCCUAACAGAAAUCUACCAAUGUGAGUAUGUGACCAGAAAAUGUACUGAACGUGCAUGGCAAAAAUUGGUUUUCAGAUGAUCUCGCUACAAAAGAUUCUUAAUAAGAUCAAACCAAUAUAGAAUAAGUUUACCUAGCGUACUAUUAAUGCUAGAGGAAAACUACUAUUCAUCUAUAUUAAUAGUUCUUAAAACCAGCAUUCUAUAUGCACAAAAUUACUAUUAGUAGUAAUGAAGAUGAGAAUAGAUUAAUAAAAGGGAUUCUAUAUUAGUUCAGUACGGGUAGUGAUUUGAUUGAUCUAAUAGGAAAAAGAGUCCAAUUUCUUUUUUGGAAUUUACACCCCCCUGCUUCGCUUAGUGUUUAAACUAAAAAUGCAUGCAUCUCGCACUAAGUUAUCAAAUUCAAUAAAAAAAGAGAAAUUUUCAAAAAGAAAGAAAGUGAAUGAAUUUAGUAGAAAAGUACUGUAUCGGAUUUGAACCACUGACUCACGUCUUACCGCGGCAUUACUCUACCACUAAGUAAAAAAAGCCCUUUAUCGGAUUUGAACCGAUGACUUAUGCCUUACCAUGGCAUUACUCCACCACUGAGUUAAAAGGGCUUCUUAUUCAAUUCCAAAAUUAGCCACUUUCAUUUCCCAUUAUAGGUCUACUCCAUAAUGUACAUUAUAUCUGUAUAUAUCGAGAUAUAUAAGUCUAUUCAUGGUCAGGUUCAAAAAAAUCUUAAGAAAAUCAAGAAAAAUAGGAAAAUCUUUCAUAUUCUCUCUUAUCACUUGCACAAAGUAUAGGGUUUUUUAUCUUUAGGCUAUUGACUUUUCACAUGCUCAGAACGG